ensembl:lncRNA
UGUGUGUGUGUUGAGGUAAACAGAUGCCCAGUAAUAAAUCUCAUGCAACUUUUGAACACGGAGGUUGUUUGUUUCCGCCAUCUGUUCGCAACUCUGUGGGUCUCCAGAUGUAUCGCGACCUGCCCUGAACACUUCUGAUUGUGUAACGAGCUGAUAAUUAUAAACAGCAGCAGCUCCCAUUCAGUCCAGCUGCUAAUAUCACCAUGGUAAAGAAAAGAGUUUCAGCCCGGCAGUACGACACACGAAUCUAUGUCGGAUCACACAGCGGGGUUUUUUUUUUUUUCUAGCCUGGACUAGAGACGGGUAACGUUAAGGUUUUAACAGUAUUACUACUCUUACCGAUAGUGCCCGAUCGAUCCGGUACUUUAACGGUACUCUUAUCGGUACUCUGUGUCGUGUCACUGAGAUAUCUUCAGGACGGAGGGAUCUAUUUGGCGUCGAACGCCUUGCACAUAUCCGUACAGUAAUAAAAAAAACAGUUUUCGUUUGUUCCGUUAUCAUUAUGAAAUGAUUGCGUUUAUUGUUGUUUAUUGUAUUGUGGAGCGAUGGGACUAAUACACAACCCUUUUAUAAUACUACUACAUCCUACAAAUGAAUACAGCGAUAUACUGUGUAUACUGAAAGACCGUUAUGUAAAACAGCCGGACUCGGACGAGGGGUUUUAGGAGGAGUUGGGUGGUUCUUUAUAGCUGCAGCUUUAAACAUAAAUAACAAUAAAAAGCUAACAAUCGGCUGUGGCUGAUGUUUAGGUUUGAUCAUGAACCCGUGUUCACAUGGUUUCGUUAGCUCGGUGUGGGCUUAAAUCUGUAGCAUGGUGAUGAUGAUGAUAAGAGUGAGAUGCUGCCACGGAUCUCUGAAUGAACUACAGCUGAGCAGUGUAUAUUUUGUUUAUAACGUGAAGGAAAAACUCAAAUAAAUGAGCGGAGAAGGGAAUAUGCUUUCAGACGGGUGAGAAGAUUAAGCGGUUAAACUCCUAACAUAAGGAGGCUAGGCGUUGGAGCUGGGGAGACCCGUCACAUGGUGAAAUCUUCUGCUAGAUAUAGUUUAUAUUUCCGUCACAAGUUAUAAGGAAUGAAACACUCCGUGGUGUGCCGGUAUAGAAAAGCGUCGUCGACGUCGAUUAUUUUCCUAUAACUGCAUGUCCCAACGUGUUUACGUUUAAUACCGUGGAACGUUCACGUUUUUAUCCGUCUUGAAAAAAAAUUCGAACCCCCGGCCCUGGAGGCGCGAGGCAAGCGUGCUAACCGCUAAGCCAAGCAUGGUACAUAAUUAUAAUCAAAUGAUCAUCCGUUUGGUAUUUUAGGUAUUUUAGGUGCUAGUGUAAAGCGACGUCGGUAAUGUAACCUGCUGCUAAAUGGCACAUAUGUGAGAAGGGCGUGUCGUAUUUAACGGCCUCGUGACGGUUCAGCCAUCCCGGAUGUUAAAACUUUUGCACGUGCCCGUUCCUAAA